UACAGAGGGUGCGAGCGUUAAUCGGAAUUACUGGGCGUAAAGCGCACGUAGUCGGCUUGUCAAGUCGGGUGUGAAAUCCCCGGGCUCAACCUGGGAACUGCAUCCGAGACUGACUUGCUAGAGUAUGGGAGAGGGAAGCGGAAUUUCUGGUGUAGCAGUGAAAUGCGUAGAUAUCAGAAGGAACACCAAUGGCGAAGGCAGGUCUCUGGGCCAUUACUGACACUGAGGAGCGAAAGCGUGGGGAGCGAACAGGAUUAGAAACCCGGGUAGU
rnacentral:rRNA from 1 species